GAUGAAGAACGUAGCGAAAUGCGAUACGUAAUGUGAAUUGCAGAAUUCAGUGAAUCAUCGAGUCUUUGAACGCACAUUGCGCCCUCUGGUAUUCCGGAGGGCAUGCCUGUCCGAGCGUCAUUGCUGCCCUCAAGCACGGCUUGUGUGUUGGGCCCCGUCCUCCGAUCCCGGGGGACGGGCCCGAAAGGCAGCGGCGGCACCGCGUCCGGUCCUCGAGCGUAUGGGGCUUUGUCACCCGCUCUGUAGGCCCGGCCGGCGCUUGCCGAUCAACCCAAAUUUUUAUCCAGGUUGACCUCGGAUCAGGUAGGGAUACCCGCUGAACUUAAGCAUAUCAAUAAGCGGAGGA
rnacentral:misc_RNA from 1 species